rnacentral:lncRNA from 1 species
AAAAACAUUACAGGUGGGAACUGAACGAGAAAAUUGAUUUCAAUUGAAAGAAACUUCUACACAAAAAGGUCGGUCCAAUGUAUUUAAUUUUGUUCUUUGGUACCAUAUAUUUAGGUUCAAGAGUGUUAUUUAUUUAUUUUUAUUUUUUUCUAUGUAAUAUGUUUAUUGUUGUUUAAUAGGAGAAAAUAUUAUUUGCUAUGUGCGGGAAUUAUACAUAACAUCAUAUGAGGGUAUGUUAAGUAAAUUUCUUGGUUGGACGAUAUUGAGUCAGUAUUUGGUAAUGUGUUGAUCUCAUCGUUACAAUUUUUUCUAAAUAUAUUCAGUUCAAUUUUUGUUCUCUCUUUUGUUACUGCAAGAAGCUGGCUUUUUGUUUGACAUGUAUAAAUUUAAACAAAUCAAUACUCUUAUUUUAUUUCAGAUGGAGCUGAUACAGAAAAUAAUAUUAGAUUAUCGGGUGUUGCUCACGUUUAUACGAGAUUUAUUUGAAAUUUGUCUUAUGCACAUUGAGCAACAAGUUUACAGUAUUUUG